AAAAAAAACAAACUCUGGUUCCUAUGUCUAACGUUUGACCGUCCGUCUUAUUUGAAAAAAUUAUGAAAAAAAUUAAAAAGACAAGUCACGCAUAAAAUAUUAAUCAUGUUUUAUUAUCUAACAAUAAUGAAAAUACGAAUUAUAAAAAAAUUUUAUAUAAGACGGACCGUUAAAGUUGGACACGAAAAUUCAGGGUUUGCCUUUUU
rfam:Oryza nivara chromosome 3, whole genome shotgun sequence.